CCGGGCUGUGUGAUCCGGCUGUGUGGGACAUCAGUGCUCCUGGUUCUCUGGCCUUCAGACUUUGACUGAAUUAUACCACCGGCUUUCCUGAUUUCCCAGGUCACAGACAGCAGAUCAUGGGACUUCUCAGCUUCCAUAAUCAAGUACAAUAUACAUGAGAUAUUCUCUGCCUACUGCUUUGGAUACAGAAGUCAACGCCCUGCACUCUUCUAAAGAUCUAAAAUAUGGGGAAACUAAAACCCAAAGAGUUCGUUUGAUUUGCCCAAAGUCAAACAAUCCACAGGAGGCCAACUGAAGGCUCAGGAAAGUAAGCAUCUUGAACCAAACAUGUAUAAAACUGAACUCUUGGGGCUGGCCCCGUGGCUGAGUAGUUAAGUUCGCGCGCUCCGCUGCAGGUGGCCCAGUGUUUCGUUGGUUCGAAUCCUGGGCGCGGACAUGGCACUGCUCAUCAAAC
rnacentral:lncRNA from 1 species